GACGAACGCUGGCGGCGUGCUUAACACAUGCAAGUCGAACGAUGAAGCCGGAGCUUGCUCCGGUGGAUUAGUGGCGAACGGGUGAGUAACACGUGAGCAAUCUGCCCUUGACUCUGGGAUAACUGCGGGAAACUGUAGCUAAUACCGGAUACGACGCCUUGGGGCAUCCCAGGGUGUGGAAAGAAUUUCGGUCAAGGAUGAGCUCGCGGCCUAUCAGCUAGUUGGUGAGGUAAUGGCUCACCAAGGCGACGACGGGUAGCCGGCCUGAGAGGGUGACCGGCCACACUGGAACUGAGACACGGUCCAGACUCCUACGGGAGGCAGCAGUGGGGAAUAUUGCACAAUGGGCGAAAGCCUGAUGCAGCAACGCCGCGUGAGGGAUGAAGGCCUUCGGGUUGUAAACCUCUUUUAGCAGGGAAGAAGCGAAAGUGACGGUACCUGCGGAAAAAGCACCGGCUAACUACGUGCCAGCAGCCGCGGUAA
rnacentral:rRNA from 1 species